CUGAGAUGGGGUAAGGAGGGGUUGAGGGCACAGAGCCUGUUGGCAGGAAAAGCAGGAGCCCUUCUGAAAACCCUCAGUAGGGUCAGGGCUGAGAGCCAGGGGUCAGGGUCCCUCACCUACCUUCCCUUCCCUUCCCAGAGUCACCUGCUGUGUCCAUCAUCCCUGUCAUGGGAAUUGUUGCUGGCCUGGUUCUUUUUGUAUUUGUGGUCACUGGAGCUGCGGUGGCUGUUAUGAGGUGGUGGCGGAAUGCAGCAGAGACAGCUGCCUUGUGUGGGACUGAGCAACACAAGAUUUUUCAAGCCUUUGUGACUAGAAGAACCCUGGAGUCCCUUUCUGUCAUGGAUUAUUAAGCCAUCCACAUUCCUAUUGGCAUAAUGUGCAGAAGUGAGACCAGUGCAUAGGACCCAUGUCCUGCACUGUCCCUUGCCCACUCACCUUUCACCUUUUCUCUAUUCUAGCAGAGUUCAGGCUGGGAUGACUCCUUCCUUCUCUCAACAUCACUGUGCACUGAGCCACAACUUCUUACUUCCAUCCUGAAUAUAAGAAUCAGAAUAUAAAUAUUUUUCAAAAUCUUGAUCCAAUGGAUAGAUUGGUUAAUAAACAGAGAAAAUUCCAAA